CGUACAAUAGACCAAUCCUUGCUAUGAGAGCUUCAUGCCAAAGUGUGGAUUGUAGUGUAGUUCAAUUUUAUAUCCAUUUAAGGAAUUGUUUCAAACAAAUGAUGACUACCUAAUAUUUCAAAUAUAUGACACACUGAUCGAACUUAGGCGGCUCGAUCCACUGAUCCAGCAGCGUCAGGACUUCAGCAAAAUGAAAGUAUUUUUCUUGUGCAAAGUACCGUAUUUGAUGGCAUAAAAGACGCACCUCAGUUUCAGCAGCGCAUAUUCAGGAGAAAAAGAUUUUAGAGCAUUGCCUAAUUUCGCAUAAAGAACCCGAAAUGAAUUUUUGAGACAUUUGUUGGUGGUGCAGAGAGAACGUGCGUUUUAUAUGCCAUAAAAAAAAAAUGAACGAUCCCCUGGUCAAAAGGAACACUUUCUGUAUGGCUUGUCACCGCGGGAAUACACAACUUUCACCAUUUUUACUUGUCAAUUCAGAGAGGUAAAUGAAUUUACUCUUUCUACCACCUUCUAUCAUCCGUCUUCUAGCUGUCACUCACCGAUGGACUUAACUACCUACAAAAUGGAUAAUAGAACUAAAACUAUUCUGUGUAUAACAACAACUCGAAGUUGUAACUUACAUUGUAUCUAUAUAAUAA